CCUACGGGAGGCAGCAGUGGGGAAUAUUGCACAAUGGGCGAAAGCCUGAUGCAGCAACGCCGCGUGAACGAUGAAGGCCUUCGGGUCGUAAAGCUCUGUCCUCAAGGAAGAAAAUGACGGUCCUUGAGGAGGAAGCCCCGGCAAACUACGUGCCAGCCGCCGCGGUAAUACGUAGGGGCCUCGCGUUUUCCGGAAUUACUGGGCGUAAAGGGUGCGUAGGUGGUUUCUUAAGACAGAGGGGAAAGGCUACGGCUCAGCCGUAGUAAGCCUUUGAAACUGGGGAACUUGAGUGCAGGAGAGGAGAGUGGAAUUCCUGGUGUAGCGGUGAAAUGCGUAGAUAGUAGGAAGAACACCAGUUGCGAAGGCGGCUCUCUGGACUGUAACUGACGCUGAGGCACGAAAGCGUGGGGAGCAAACAGGAUUAGAUACCCUGGUAGUC
rnacentral:rRNA from 1 species